GUUCAUGUGUGCGAAAUGUUUCUAGAACCAUAUAAACUGAGCUUUGUUUAUAUUCUGUUUAGAAUUCUGAGGCAUUAUUACACUCUUUGAUCUAUGUUGACCAAAGAAAAAUGUAUGUCUUCAAACGAGUGCUCUGGAAAAGUCCUCUGUAACAAAUAGCUACAGAUUUCUUCUAUCCAAGGAGGACACCUAGAGGCUACUUUCGUGAUGUGAUUGCCAAUCCUGAAAUGCUUUCCAAAUUGUUUUCUUCACAGAUCCAAUCAUAAAUCAUUCAUUGCAGGUCCAGUAAGUCCAGGUAAAACAAUGAAUAACUAAUCUUUAAGGAGAGGAAAAAGGUGAAAAUAAGUUACAUUUAUUUUCCAGGCACAGUAGAAGUACAUUACAAGAUACAGAAGAACUCUUAAAGCACUGAAACUUUCGACUGAAAAAAAUUUGCAACCUGAAAACUGAGAAUAUGCUUCACUCAAGGACAUUAAUUGAGGACUCUAGCUUGGGAAAUCAGCUUCUCAAACAGCUUUGAUGAUUCUCCCUAAGAGGCCACUUUGCAUAAACCAGACACUGUACUAGAAGCUGGGGAUACGCUGGUAAAUGAGACCAACUCUGCCCUCAGGGAGCUGAGAAUCUAGUGAGGAAGACAGCUACAAAACAAAAAGCAGAGUCACGAGAGAUACAGUUAGGAAGCUGGAGAAGAAACAAGGAAGCUAAGGAAAGUCUGUCAAGCCCUCUCAUGGAAAACCUGUGAAAAUAUCUUUGCAGCUUCUUCCUCUGCACUUGCAGCCUUUCUACAUAGCUCAGGGGGAAAUACAGUAGUUUUGAAGUCAAUAAUCACUUAUUCACUAAAGGAAGACACUUGUGUAUACAAUAAAGGAUGGCAUUUCUAUGAAAUUGUCAG
ensembl:lncRNA